GAGUGAACGCUGGCGGUAGGCCUAACACAUGCAAGUCGAACGGCAGCACAGUAAGAGCUUGCUCUUACGGGUGGCGAGUGGCGGACGGGUGAGGAAUACAUCGGAAUCUACUUUUUCGUGGGGGAUAACGUAGGGAAACUUACGCUAAUACCGCAUACGACCUACGGGUGAAAGCAGGGGAACUUCGGACCUUGCGCGAUUGAAUGAGCCGAUGUCGGAUUAGCUAGUUGGCGGGGUAAAGGCCCACCAAGGCGACGAUCCGUAGCUGGUCUGAGAGGAUGAUCGGCCACACUGGAGCUGAGACACGGUCCAUACGCCUACGGGAGGCAGCAGUGGGGAAUAUUGGACAAUGGGCGCAAGCCUGAUCCAGCCAUACCGCGUGGGUGAAGAAGGCCUUCGGGUUGUAAAGCCCUUUUGUUGGGAAAGAAAAGCAGCAGGUUAAUACCCCGCUGUUCUGACGGUACCCAAUGAAUAAGCACCGGCUAACUUCGUG
rnacentral:rRNA from 1 species